UGAGGCCUGUGAUGAUCUAAAUAUUUGCCUACAUUGUCUGAUUGUUCUAUUUGAAGAGUCUUCAUAAAUAAGUCUGAGGCCUUU